UACGGAGGGUGCGAGCGUUGUCCGGAUUCAUUGGGCGUAAAGCGCGCGUAGGCGGCAGGGCAAGUCGGCCGUGAAAUCUCCCAGCUUAACUGGGAGGGGUCGGGCGAGACUGCCCCGCUAGAGGCGGGUAGAGGGCAGUGGAAUUCCGGGUGUAGUGGUGGAAUGCGUAGAGAUCCGGAGGAACACCAGUGGCGAAGGCGGCUGCCUGGGCCUGGCCUGACGCUGAGGCGCGAAAGCGUGGGGAGCGAUCCGG
rnacentral:rRNA from 1 species